rnacentral:rRNA from 1 species
AUGACAACCGCAUGGUUGUUAUUUAAAAGAUGGUUCUGCUAUCACUAAGAGAUGGUCCCGCGGUGCAUUAGCUAGUUGGUAAGGUAAUGGCUUACCAAGGCGAUGAUGCAUAGCCGAGUUGAGAGACUGAUCGGCCACAAUGGGACUGAGACACGGCCCAUACUCCUACGGGAGGCAGCAGUAGGGAAUCUUCCACAAUGGGCGAAAGCCUGAUGGAGCAACGCCGCGUGUGUGAUGAAGGGUUUCGGCUCGUAAAACACUGUUGUAAGAGAAGAAUGACAUUGAGAGUAACUGUUCAAUGUGUGACGGUAUCUUACCAGAAAGGAACGGCUAAAUACGUGCCAGCAGCCGCGGUAAUACGUAUGUUCCAAGCGUUAUCCGGAUUUAUUGGGCGUAAAGCGAGCGCAGACGGUUAUUUAAGUCUGAAGUGAAAGCCCUCAGCUCAACUGAGGAAUUGCUUUGGAAACUGGAUGACUUGAGUGCAGUAGAGGAAAGUGGAACUCCAUGUGUAGCGGUGAAAUGCGUAGAUAUAUGGAAGAACACCAGUGGCGAAGGCGGCUUUCUGGACUGUAACUGACGUUGAGGCUCGAAAGUGUGGGUAGCAAACAGGAUUAGAUACCCUGGUAGUCCACACCGUAAACGAUGAGUGCUAGGUGUUUGAGGGUUUCCGCCCUUAAGUGCCGCAGCUAACGCAUUAAGCACUCCGCCCUGGGGAGUACGACCGCAAGUUGAAACUCAAAGGAAUUGACGGGGACCCGCACAAGCUGUGGAGCAUGUGGUUUAUUCGAAGCAACGCGAAGAACCU